CUCGUCGCUUUUCCCCUACUUGGUUUAAAGAUCAUAAGUGGCUUGAGUACAGCGUGGAAAAAGAGGCUGCUUUUUUGCUUUGUUUGCUACUUGUUCAAGGAUAAAACAAAAAGUCCCGGAGGAGAUGCAUUUGUGAAUGGUGGGUUUAAUAAUUGGAACAUGAAAGCAAGAUUGAAGAGGCAUAUUGGAGAUGUUAGUAGUGCUCACGUUGAAGCUCAAGAAAAAUAUGAUAUGUUCACUACACCUACAACAUCAAUUAGGGAGUCUAUUGCUUCAAACACCUCACAAUACAAGGCUUUGUAUAAACAGCGUUUGACAUGGACACUCAAGUGUGUGAGAUUUCUAUUGAGCCAAGGCUUGGCAUUU
rnacentral:rRNA from 1 species